rnacentral:tRNA from 1 species
GCGGAUGUAGCUCAGCAGGCAGAGCGGGACCACGCCAUGGUUCAGGCCACGAGUUCGAUUCUCGUCAUCCGCUCCA